UACGGAGGGAGCUAGCGUUGUUCGGAAUCACUGGGCGUAAAGCGCACGUAGGCGGCUUUGCAAGUUAGAGGUGAAAGCCCGGGGCUCAACUCCGGAACUGCCUUUAAAACUGCGAUGCUUGAAUCUGGGAGAGGUGAGUGGAAUUCCGAGUGUAGAGGUGAAAUUCGUAGAUAUUCGGAAGAACACCAGUGGCGAAGGCGGCUCACUGGACCAGUAUUGACGCUGAGGUGCGAAAGCGUGGGGAGCAAACAGG
rnacentral:rRNA from 1 species